AUUGAACGCUGGCGGCAGGCCUAACACAUGCAAGUCGAACGAGUGGCGGACGGGUGAGUAAUGUAUGGGAAACUGCCUGAUGGAGGGGGAUAACUACUGGAAACGGUAGCUAAUACCGCAUACUAUCGGAUGUGCCCAGAUGGGAUUAGCUAGUAGGUGGGGUAAAGGCUCACCUAGGCGACGAUCCCUAGCUGGUCUGAGAGGAUGACCAGCCACACGGGAACUGAGACACGGUCCAGACUCCUACGGGAGGCAGCAGUGGGGAAUAGUGCACAAUGGGCGCAAGCCUGAUGCAGCCAUGCCGCGUGUAUGAAGAAGGCCUUCGGGUUGUAAAGUACUUUCAGUGGGGAGGCGUUACCCGCAGAAGAAGCACCGGCUAACUCCGUGCCAGCAGCCGCGGUAAUUC
rnacentral:rRNA from 1 species